UUAUUGGAGAGUUUGAUCCUGGCUCAGGACGAACGCUGGCGGCGGCCGACACAUGCAAGUCGAGCGAACCUUGUAUUUCUGGAGACGCCAGGUUAGCGGCGGACGGGUGAGUAACACGUAGGCAACCUGCCUGAAAGACCGGGAUAACUUGCGGAAACGUGAGCUAAUACCGGAUAGCUGGUUUCUUCGAAGAAGAAGUCAUGAAAGACGGGGUAAACUCGUCACUUACAGAUGAUCGGCAGCGCGCAUUAGCUGGCUGGUAGGGUAACGUCAUUAAGGCGACGAUGCGUAGCCGACCUGAGAGGGUGAACGGCCGUCCAGGUCGCAGACCCUGAGACAUCGGGCCCAGACUCCUACGGGAGGCAGCAGUAGGGAAUCUUCCGCAAUGGACGAAAGUUGACGGAGCAACGCCGCGUGAGUGAUGUAGCGUUUUCGGAUCGUAAAGCCUGUUGCCAAGGAAGAAUGCUUUCAGGGGAGUAAUCGCCCUGAGUGACGCAAUGGAGAAGAAAGCCCCGGCUAACUACGCAGCAGCCAGGUGGUAAUACGGUGUAGCGCGUUGUCCGGAAUUAUUGGGCGGUAAAGCGCGCGCAGGCGGUCUUUUAAGUCUGGUGUUUAAGCCCGGGGCUCAACCCCAAUUCGCACUAAACGGGAGACUUGAGUGUAGGAGAGGGAAAGUGGAAUUCCACGUGUAGCGGUGAAAUGCGUAGAGAUGUGGAGGAACACCAGUGGCGAAGGCGGCUUUCGGGCUUAUAACUGACGCUGAGGCGCGAAAGCGUGGGGAGCAAACAGGAUUAGAUACCCUGGUAGUCCACGCCGCAAACGAUGAAUGCUAGGUGUUAGGGUUGAUUACCCUCGAAGCGAAGUUAACACAGUAAAGUAUUCCGCCUGGGGAGUACGGUCGCAAGCACUGAAACUCAAAGGAAUUGACGGGGACCCGCACAAGCAGUGGAGUAUGUGGUUUAAUUCGAAGCAACGCGAAGAACUCGCUCAGGGCCUUGACAUCCCUCUGACUAGUUUGGGAGGAGGACUUUUCCUUCGGGGACAGAGGAGACAGGUGGUGCAUGGUUGUCGUCAGCUCGUGUCGUGAGAUGUUGGGUUAAGUCCCGCAACGAGCGCAACCCUUGAUCUUAGUUGCCAGCACGCAGAGGUGGGCACUCUAAGAUGACUGCCGGUGACAAACCGGAGGAAGGUGGGGAUGACGUCAAAUCAUCAUGCCCCUUAUGGCCUGGGCUACACACGUACUACAAUGGUCGGUACAACGGGAAGCGAAGGAGCGAUCCGGAGCCAAUCCUCAAAAAGCCGAUCUCGCCCGGAUUGCAGGCUGCAAAACUCGCCCGCAUGAAGUCGGAAUUGGCAGCAAUCGCGAUCAGCAUGCUCGCGGUGAAUACGUUCCCGGGUCUUGUACACACCGCCCGUCACGCGACUGAUGAGAGUUUACAACACCCGAAGUCGGUGAGGUAAACCGCAAGGCCAGCCGCCGAAGGUGGGGUAGAUGAUUGGGGUAAAGCUCUGGGGCAUCACAGUCGUAUCGUAGCAGGUGCGGCUGGAUCACCUCCUUU
rnacentral:rRNA from 1 species